rnacentral:lncRNA from 1 species
ACGGCAAGGCCCGGCGCCUCGGUCGCGUCUUAAAGGGGCCGCGCUCUGCUGGGGCUGGACCCCCUUGCUUUCCCGCAGGGGUUGCGGUGGGAUCGCGUGGCCCUGUGUGACCCGCGCCGGGCCGCCGGACCGGAGGGCUCAGGGCAGCAGGCACGCUGGGGUCUGUGCCUGCCCUCCGCGCCUGGAAGUCGGCGGAAAUGAAAUGGCUGCUGGGGACGGGAGAUGUGCCGACGCUGCCCCGAAAGGGGACAAGUAGCCGCCAACUACUGGCUCUAGGUUCUGUCCACCCACUCGAUGCAGGUAGCAGGGACCACGCGUCCAGGACGGUUCACGAGGCUCUCCAGGCGCAUCUCGCGCUCGGACCGCCCUCCCGCAGCGCCGGGAUGCGCAGGGUCCGCGGAGGACCAGCCCUGCCCGCGCUUGCUCUCGCAGGAGAUGUGCGUGCGGCGACACGCACCGCCGGCCGGGGCCGAGGGGGCGCAGGCUCUGUGCGCUGCGGAGCCUGCCAGGGAAGGCGUCACCUCCGCGUGCUGACCCGUCGGGUCCGGACCCUGCCUAAGCGACCGCUUAGCCUGCCAGCCGGAACCCACUUCACUUGAAACCAGCUGUCGCCUUGGACCGAAUAUGUCCUCCAGAAUUCUUAGGUUGAGGCCCAGCUUCAUUGUGGCCACAUGUGAGGAGAGAGGCUCUGAGGAGAUACAUUCAGGUUCAGUGAGCUCAUAAGGGUGGGGCCCUUUUCCAGCAGCAUCAGCCUCCUUUUAAGGAAAGACCCAGAGCACUUCCUGUCCCCCCACAACCUCCCACCCAGAACCGAAGACAAAAAAGAGGGCCUGUGACCCCAGAGCAAGAAGGUGGCCACCCACAAGCCAGGGAGAGGCGCUCUCCCAGAAGCAGAGCCCUUCAGAACAGGAUCUCUGCCUUCCAGCCUCCCCAGUGUCAGAAAUAAAUCUCGGAUGUUUAGGCCGCCAGCCCGUGUGGCUCUCUCUCUUACCCGGCAGGGCAUGUCUUGUUUUACUUUGUUAGAAACGCAGCACCUGCCAAGGGUACCUUAGCAGGAGCCAAAUGUGGGUCACUGAUGCCUGGAACCUGUUUCCUAAGAAGUGAUGUUGUGUCCUCACCUCCACUCAGGCUGUCUCUGGCCCUUCUCCCCAGCCCAUCAUGGCCCCGAAACACCCUUGCCCACAUGCGCACCUGCACACAGGUGCGUGCACACACACACACACACACACACUCACUUACUCUGAGACUAUCUAUGUUGGAGGAACUCCCAGUCCCCUGCCCCCGGCAGCAGGGGAUCGCAGGCUUGUCCUCCCUGAGCACCUGGCCUCGUGGCUUCUGAAAAUGCACAUUCACGGCUCCACGAUGUCACUCACCUCUUCCCCAGGUAGGGGGUCACCCACAGGCCACCCGUCCCUGGCAGGUGCCACACCCUUCCCUGGGAAGGAAGUGCAGUCCUUCCCGCUGUGUUAGCGGGCCCACCAGCAUCUGUGCCUCCAUCUGGCCACCGCCUUGGGGUUGUGCCAUCAACUCUAAGACCCACCUUUUUCUACCAUCUAUCCAGUCCCUUUGCUGCAAACCCACUCCUUGAAAUAAACCAGCCUUUGCCCCCAGGGCCACUGGGCCACGCUCUUCCAGGCCUUUCACACUGAACUUGGUGCCCACAGCCCACAGGGGCCAUCCUCACAGGAUGGCCAGCCUGGCUGCUGCCCUGGGAGGAGCCGCCUCGCCCCUGCCUCCGUGGCUCAUGUUCCACAGCACCCACAUCUGUCUCGUGAGCCCGUGGCCGUGGCAGCUGCGUUUGUGCCCCAGAGGUUGACUUGUCCUGCUUCUUCUGGCUCAGCAGACUUCUUACACGCCCCUGCCCCCAUCAGACCCCGCCCCCGACCACGCCCAUGGGUCCCCCUCAUAUCACCCUCUCACCUUUCCCUCUGCCUCCCCUCUCCCCCCACGGGCACAGCCCGUCCCAGAGACACAAGGACGUGUAUCACAUCAUGAGUCGCAUGACUUAAUGACAGGCCGGAGCCAUCGCUGCGCCUGGGGCCAGGGCCGCCCUACUUGCAGAGACCUGGAACGCUGACACCACCCGGGUCAGAGGCCACGCUCCUCAAAUCGCUUCUGCUCCAUCUUCUUUACCUUUGCGACGUUGUCCCACGUUUGCUGCCUUUUCCCCAAAAAGUUCCGCAAAGCCCGCUCACCUGGCUCCAGGAGAGGCCUGGGGCACCUGGCAUCGGGACUCAAGCCCGGUGUUUGGGGGCCGAGGCGGGAGGUGGAGGCAGCCAGAGCUGCGAUGUGGGUUCCUCAGAGGAGCCGGCCCCGGGCCAAGCAGCCCCCUUAGCCUGACCCUCUCUGGGCUCCCGAGAGGCACACCGGCCAGUCCUGCGGUUAAACACCCACCUGCCCGGAGGUUUUUCAGGGACUGCCCAUUAGUCACUAAGUAUCACUCGUUACCGAGCCCACGUUAUAACCAGUGCAUUGAAGGAUUCUGAUUAUCAGGUGGUGGAGAGAUUUGCAGCUGGGCUUCACCGUCCACACGUUUCAAAGUUCCCCUUCGGCGGGUGGACAGACAGCACCUGGGAGCGGCAAGACGUCCUUCCAUCAUGUACGAAUCAGUCCUCAGCAGUCCUGUCAGGUAAGUCAACUGUGUUCAACGGGAUGUAAAAACACCAAGUUAACCGACUCACUCAAGUUAAUUUUCCGUAGGCAGACAGCCUGGCUGGACGCACCAGGAACGAAGCCAGGGCUCUGGCCUCUGGGUGGGGGGCUGGGCGCCCUUGCUUUAGCCAGAGGUAUUUUUGCAAGUAGCAGGUGAGUGGGCAUUUUCGGUUACUGACGUCAGGCUCAUCUGGGAAGGAGGUUUCGCUCCCUCUGAAUUAGUGGGAUUCUUUCCUCAUCAAUCAGUUUAGCUUCUGCUGUCACUCUGCAGGCCCCGACUGUGUGUGCGGGGCUUUACAAUUCUUCUUUCUAGUCAGUCUCGGGAGGUGUGUAACCCUGGGCUAUAGAUAAGACAUGAAGCCUUCAGGGUUGAAAAGCCGGCAACCUGCCAGUAGUUGUGGGGCCAGGACUGCAGGCCCGGCUGGUAAACCUCCCGGAAGCUGAGGUCCCCGCAGGGGAGCAGACGAGAAACCCACACGGGUCCCUGGCUAAGGUGACGUCCUGCCAGCUCCCUGCAAGUUUCCUCGUGGGGAGUCACACGCUCAUCACAGAAUGUUUGAGACGAGAGAACCAUGCCCAGAGCAGGAUGAAGAGGAGCGGCCACUGGGGGUUCACCACAGGCCCCCCCCACUGGUCACCGUCUGGGUGGCUCCCAUCCAGGAUGGUCCUCAGCCUGUGCCCAGGGCUCUGAUGGCGCUGCACACAUGGUUCUGACGCCUGUUUUCAGGCUCAGCGUCAUAACGUGGGUGCUUUCUGCACAACUGAGAACUUCCCGAAAUGGUCCUAAGGCGUAAUCGUCGCAGGUGACUCACCGGACCGGUGACCUCCUCCUGUUCUGAUUUGGCACGAUCAGGUCAACAAAUUCGGAGAAGGCAUUUGACAAAACUGAACAUCCUUCUUAUGAUUAAAAAAAAAAAAAAAAAAAAAGCUCUCGCAAACUAAAAAUAAAGGAUGCUUCCUAAAUCUGGUGAAGUUCCUCGGCGAGAAACACACGGCGAGCAUCAGAGUUCGGGCUGAGAGACUGAACACUUGCUCCAAGCGCCUGCUCUCACACCUGCGACUCAACACGAACUAAAGAGCCGUCUGUGCAGUGAAAUAAGAAGAAAUAAAAGGCAUACGGAUUGGAAAGGAAGACGUAAAACUGCCUUUGGUGUCAGGCAGCAUGCUCGUCUGCACAGAAAAUGCUCAGGAAUCUAUAAAAAAAAUGCCACUAACCAGGAGACUUUAACAAGGCUAGGGAAUACAUGUCGGUAUUCAAAAACAAUUGUGUGGCUGUGUAUCAGAACUGAACAUUGGAAAAAUAAAAUUUCUAAUCAUUUCCACCUAUAAGAGCUGAAAAUCAAAAUGUUUAGGAAUGAAUGACAAAAGAUGCACAGGAAACCUGCAAAGCACGGAGGACUGAAAUUAAAGAGGGCCUGGAGUUCCCGCUGCGGCUCAGUGGGUUAAGAACCCCACUAGCAUCAUGAGGACCUCUGUGCAAUCCACAGCCUCACUCAGUGGGUUAAGGACCUGACGUUGCCGGGAACUGUAGCAUAGGUCGCAGAUGCAGCUCGGAUCUGGUGUUGCUGUGGCUGUGGUGUAGGCCGGUGGCUACAGCUCCAAUUGGACCCCUAGCCUGGGAACCUCCAUGUGCCAUGGGUGCGGCC